GCUCAGUUUCAUACGAACAGCGAUUCGAACAAGUGAAUAACCCCGAAAGAAUAAAAAAAUUAAAAACAAUUAAAAGAUGGCCGAAUCAGAGAACAAUUAUCAACAAAUAGUCAGAGACAUUCAGCUGAUGCUGCAGCAGCAGGAAGAAAACCAUCU